rnacentral:rRNA from 1 species
AGGACGAACGCUGGCGGCGUGCCUAACACAUGCAAGUCGAACGCGCUCCAUUCGGUAGCAAUACUGAUGAAGAGCGAGUGGCGAACGGGUGAGUAGCACGUGAGCAACCUGCCCCGAAGACCGGGACAACACCGGGAAACCGGUGCUAAUACCGGAUAUCCCUAUCGGACCGCAUGAUCUGAUAAGGAAAUGGAUUCCGCUUCGGGAGGGGCUCGCGGCCUAUCAGCUAGUUGGUGAGGUAACGGCCCACCAAGGCAUCGACGGGUAGCUGGUCUGAGAGGACGAUCAGCCACACUGGGACUGAGACACGGCCCAGACUCCUACGGGAGGCAGCAGUGGGGAAUCUUGCGCAAUGGGCGAAAGCCUGACGCAGCAACGCCGCGUGGAGGACGAAGGCUUUCUGAGUUGUAAACUCCUUUCAGCAGGGACGAUAGUGACGGUACCUGCAGAAGAAGCACCGGCCAACUACGUGCCAGCAGCCGCGGUAAC